UACGAAGGGGGCUAGCGUUGUUCGGAAUUACUGGGCGUAAAGCGCACGUAGGCGGAUUGUUAAGUUCGGGGUGAAAUCCCAGGGCUCAACCCUGGAACUGCCUUUAAUACUGGCAAUCUCGAGUCCGAGAGAGGUGAGUGGAAUUCCGAGUGUAGAGGUGAAAUUCGUAGAUAUUCGGAGGAACACCAGUGGCGAAGGCGGCUCACUGGCUCGGUACUGACGCUGAGGUGCGAAAGCGUGGGGAGCAAACAGG
rnacentral:rRNA from 1 species